rnacentral:tRNA from 1 species
GUUAGCACAAUUGGUUAGUGCAUCAGACUUCUAAUCUGGGGGUUAUGGGUUCAAGUCCCAGUUCUCA